UACCAUGCAAGUCGAACGAUGAAGCCGCUUCGGUGGUGGAUUAGUGGCGAACGGGUGAGUAACACGUGGGCAAUCUGCCCUUCACUCUGGGACAAGCCCUGGAAACGGGGUCUAAUACCGGAUAACACUCUGUCCCGCAUGGGACGGGGUUAAAAGCUCCGGCGGUGAAGGAUGAGCCCGCGGCCUAUCAGCUUGUUGGUGGGGUAAUGGCCUACCAAGGCGACGACGGGUAGCCGGCCUGAGAGGGCGACCGGCCACACUGGGACUGAGACACGGCCCAGACUCCUACGGGAGGCAGCAGUGGGGAAUAUUGCACAAUGGGCGAAAGCCUGAUGCAGCGACGCCGCGUGAGGGAUGACGGCCUUCGGGUUGUAAACCUCUUUCAGCAGGGAAGAAGCGAAAGUGACGGUACCUGCAGAAGAAGCGCCGGCUAACUACGUGCCAGCAGCCGCGGUAAUACGUAGGGCGCAAGCGUUGUCCGGAAUUAUUGGGCGUAAAGAGCUCGUAGGCGGCUUGUCACGUCGGAUGUGAAAGCCCGGGGCUUAACCCCGGGUCUGCAUUCGAUACGGGCUAGCUAGAGUGUGGUAGGGGAGAUCGGAAUUCCUGGUGUAGCGGUGAAAUGCGCAGAUAUCAGGAGGAACACCGGUGGCGAAGGCGGAUCUCUGGGCCAUUACUGACGCUGAGGAGCGAAAGCGUGGGGAGCGAACAGGAUUAGAUACCCUGGUAGUCCACGCCGUAAACGUUGGGAACUAGGUGUUGGCGACAUUCCACGUCGUCGGUGCCGCAGCUAACGCAUUAAG
rnacentral:rRNA from 1 species